GAUGAACGCUGACAGAAUGCUUAACACAUGCAAGUCAACUUGAAUUUGGGUUUUUAACUUAGAUUUGGGUGGCGGACGGGUGAGUAACGCGUAAAGAACUUGCCUCACAGUUAGGGACAACAUUUAGAAAUGAAUGCUAAUACCUGAUAUUAUGAUUUUAAGGCAUCUUAGAAUUAUGAAAGCUAUAAGCACUGUGAGAGGGCUUUGCGUCCCAUUAGCUAGUUGGAGAGGUAACAGCUCACCAAGGCGAUGAUGGGUAGCCGGCCUGAGAGGGUGAACGGCCACAAGGGGACUGAGACACGGCCCUUACUCCUACGGGAGGCAGCAGUGGGGAAUAUUGGACAAUGGACCGAGAGUCUGAUCCAGCAAUUCUGUGUGCACGAUGAAGUUUUUCGGAAUGUAAAGUGCUUUCAGUUGGGAAGAAAAAAAUGACGGUACCAACAGAAGAAGUGACGGCUAAAUACGUGCCAGCAGCCGCGGUAAUACGUAUGUCACGAGCGUUAUCCGGAUUUAUUGGGCGUAAAGCGCGUCUAGGUGGUUAUGUAAGUCUGAUGUGAAAAUGCAGGGCUCAACUCUGUAUUGCGUUUGGAAACUGUAUAACUAGAGUACUGGAAAGGUAAGCGUGAACUACAAGUGUAGAGGUGAAAUUCGUAGAUAUUUGUAGGAAUGCCGAUGGGGAAGCCAGCUUACUGGACAGAUACGGACGCGUAGCGCGAUGGCGUGGGUAGCAAACUGGAUUAUAUACCCUGGUAGUCCAAGGGGGAAUUCCACAUUGGAUUUCAAGCUUAGCGAUACCGUCUGACUCCAGGGUGUGGCUGUGAAAUAAAGAUUUUGUUCCUUUAAUGAGUGUUAAUUAGUGGGUCUGUGUGUGUGUGUGAUGAUAAGUGUUUUGUUGUAUGAUGUGCUGCUGUGUCUUGCCUUGUGAUGAAUUUGUGU
rnacentral:rRNA from 1 species